AAGAAAGCGUCAAAGCUCACUCAAUAUAAAACCCUUAAAUUAGUAUAACUUAUUCUAAGCCCUCAAACAAUACUGAGCUGUUCUAUUAACUAUAGAAGCACUUAUGCUAGAACUAGUAAUGUGAAUACACCAUUCUCAUAAUAUGUAAGUGUAAAUCAGAUCGAAUAAAUCACUGAUAAUUAACGGCCUCUCUGAGAUCCCUGCAACAACAAAACAAGAAAACCAUGCACCUUUUACCGUUAAUCUAACACAAGAACAUUACAAGAAAGAUUAAAAGACGCAGAAGGAACUCGGCAAACUAUGAACCCCGCCUGUUUACCAAAAACAUCGCCUCUUGCUAAAAAACAUGUAUAAGAGGUCCAGCCUGCCCAGUGACUAUAAGUUCAACGGCCGCGGUAUUCUGACCGUGCAAAGGUAGCGUAAUCACUUGUCUUUUAAAUAAAGACUGGUAUGAAUGGCACCACGAAGGUUCAACUGUCUCCUGCAUCCAAUCCAUUAAACUGACCUCCCCGUGCAGAGGCGGGGAUACAACCAUAAGACGAGAAGACCCUAUGGAGCUUUAAACUAAAGGCAACUGCCAACUUCAACCUAAUCCGUAAGGAAAAACAAUAAAACAAGCAGAAAUUGACCUAAAGUUUUCGGUUGGGGCGACCACGGAGAAUAAAAAAUCCUCCUUGAAGAAUAGGGCCUACCACCCUUAACCAAGAAUCACUAUUCUAAGUAACAAAAUUUAUGACUACAAUUGAUCCAGUCUAACUGAUCAACGAACCAAGUUACCCUAGGGAUAACAGCGCAAUCCAUUUCAAAAGUUCCUAUCGACAAAUGGGUUUACGACCUCGAUGUUGGAUCAGGGCAU
rnacentral:rRNA from 1 species